GGGUGACAGUGCAAGUGGUUGUUAGAGAACAACUUGCACUGAGUGUGACCAACAUGAGAAACUACUUAGAUGUCUACUCACUCGUUAGUGAUUUUCUCGAUGCUGCAGUAGUGUGACUGAUCCUUUGACCUGUGGUGUGUUGGCUAUUCACAACGAGGCUAUAUAGUUUGACUAUACAUUCUCUUGGUCCCUAGCCAUAUGGGUCCUUGUUGUAUAUGUUGGCUAUGUAGGUUUAGAUUUACUGUUUGGAGUAGAGUACACCUA
rnacentral:lncRNA from 1 species